rnacentral:pre_miRNA from 2 species
UCUUAUGGAUGAGCAAAGAAAAUGGUUUCUUGAGAUGGAAUCUAUUCUCGGGGAAGAUUCUAUGAU